rnacentral:rRNA from 1 species
GAUGAACGCUGGCGGCGUGCCUAAUACAUGCAAGUCGAGCGAACGGACGAGAAGCUUGCUUCUCUGAUGUUAGCGGCGGACGGGUGGGUAACACGUGGAUAACCUACCUAUAAGACUGGGAUAACUUCGUGAACCCGUAGCUAAUACCUGAUAAUAUUUUGAACCGCAUGGUUCCAUAGUGAAAUACGGUCUUGCUGUCACUUAUAGAUUGAUCCGCGCUGCAUUAGCUAGUUGGUAAGGUAACGGCUUACCAAGGCAACGAUGAGUAGCCGACCUGAGAGGGUGAUCGGCCACACUGGAACUGAGACACGGUCCAGACUCCUACGGGAGGCAGCAGUAGGGAAUCUUCCGCAAUGGGCGAAAGCCUGACGGAGCAACGCCGCGUGAGUGAUGAAGGUCUUCGGAUCGUAAAACUCUGUUAUUAGGGAAGAACAUAUGUGUAAGUAACUGGGCAGAUCUUGACGGUACCUAAUCAGAAAGCCACGGCUAACUACGUG